AGAGUUUGAUCCUGGCUCAGGAUGAACGCUGGCGGCAUGCCUAAGACAUGCAAGUCGAGGGGCAGCAUGAACUUAGCUUGCUAAGUUUGAUGGCGACCGGCGCACGGGUGAGUAACACGUAUCCAACCUGCCGAUGACUCGGGGAUAGCCUUUCGAAAGAAAGAUUAAUACCCGAUGGCAUAGUUCUUCCGCAUGGUAGAACUAUUAAAGAAUUUCGGUCAUCGAUGGGGAUGCGUUCCAUUAGGUUGUUGGCGGGGUAACGGCCCACCUAGUCUUCGAUGGAUAGGGGUUCUGAGAGGAAGGUCCCCCACAUUGGAACUGAGACACGGUCCAAACUCCUACGGGAGGCAGCAGUGAGGAAUAUUGGUCAAUGGGCGAGAGCCUGAACCAGCCAAGUAGCGUGAAGGAUGACUGCCCUAUGGGUUGUAAACUUCUUUUAUAAAGGAAUAAAGUCGGGUAUGGAUACCCGUUUGCAUGUACUUUAUGAAUAAGGAUCGGCUAACUCCGUGCCAGCAGCCGCGGUAAUACGGAGGAUCCGAGCGUUAUCCGGAUUUAUUGGGUUUAAAGGGAGCGUAGAUGGAUGUUUAAGUCAGUUGUGAAAGUUUGCGGCUCAACCGUAAAAUUGCAGUUGAUACUGGAUAUCUUGAGUGCAGUUGAGGCAGGCGGAAUUCGUGGUGUAGCGGUGAAAUGCUUAGAUAUCACGAAGAACUCCGAUUGCGAAGGCAGCCUGCUAAGCUGCAACUGACAUUGAGGCUCGAAAGUGUGAGUAUCAAACAGGAUUAGAUACCCUGGUAGUCCACACGGUAAACGAUGAAUACUCGCUGUUUGCGAUAUACGGCAAGCGGCCAAGCGAAAGCGUUAAGUAUUCCACCUGGGGAGUACGCCGGCAACGGUGAAACUCAAAGGAAUUGACGGGGGCCCGCACAAGCGGAGGAACAUGUGGUUUAAUUCGAUGAUACGCGAGGAACCUUACCCGGGCUUAAAUUGCAGAUGAAUUACGGUGAAAGCCGUAAGCCGCAAGGCAUCUGUGAAGGUGCUGCAUGGUUGUCGUCAGCUCGUGCCGUGAGGUGUCGGCUUAAGUGCCAUAACGAGCGCAACCCUUGUUGUCAGUUACUAACAGGUCAUGCUGAGGACUCUGACAAGACUGCCAUCGUAAGAUGUGAGGAAGGUGGGGAUGACGUCAAAUCAGCACGGCCCUUACGUCCGGGGCUACACACGUGUUACAAUGGGGGGUACAGAGGGCCGCUACCACGCGAGUGGAUGCCAAUCCCCAAAACCUCUCUCAGUUCGGACUGGAGUCUGCAACCCGACUCCACGAAGCUGGAUUCGCUAGUAAUCGCGCAUCAGCCACGGCGCGGUGAAUACGUUCCCGGGCCUUGCACUCACCGCCCGUCA
rnacentral:rRNA from 1 species